AAAGUCGUAACAAGGUUUCCGUAGGUGAACCUGCGGAAGGAUCAUCACAGAGUGGUCAUUGACCAUUACUAAUUUUAUUCCCAACCAAUAUUGACGAGUUUAUUGACUGAUGUAAUUGUGGAUUGGAUUGAAUUGAUUUGAACAAAACUUUCAACAACGGAUCUCUUGGCUCUC
rnacentral:misc_RNA from 1 species